rnacentral:rRNA from 1 species
AUGCGCCGGCCGCCGGCAGACGCCGGCAAUCGCAGCACCCUGCACCACCGUUACACAUUAGCUCCUCCUCUGCCCCGCGUGCCCCAGCUCCUCCUCUCUCCCACGCGCCCGAGCUCCUCGUUGUGCGCCGCUCGGGAGGGCUUGCGCUCGCCGCUCGACCAGAGCCACCGCCAGUUGGUCGUCGUUGCACUUGCCGGCUACCUGGUCGUCCCCUCUGCACCGCCAUCCACCUCAAAUUUGUACGCGUAUGUGUUUGUGGAUGUUCUCAGUUAUUUUUUGCACACAAGGUGUUUGUGUGUUUGUCCGAGCCAGUUUCAGUCACAGAUCCUUGAGGACACAUGGGUACGCCAGCUCCUACUGCUUGACAAAUGUAUAUCUGCAGAUUUUCUUUAA